GAUCCUGGCUCAGGGUGAACGCUAGCUACAGGCUUAACACAUGCAAGUCGAGGGGCAGCAUGUAUCUGGCUUGCCAGAUACGAUGGCGACCGGCGCACGGGUGAGUAACGCGUAUCCGACCUGCCGCACACUCCGGGAUAGCCUUGCGAAAGCAAGUUUAAUACCGGAUGCCGUAAGGACGCCGCAUGGUGUUUUUACGAAAGGGGUUUACCGGUGUGCGAUGGGGAUGCGUCCCAUUAGCUUG
rnacentral:rRNA from 1 species